UACGUAGGGUACAAGCGUUAAUCGGAUUUAUUGGGCGUAAAGGGCGCGUAGACGGGAGGAUAAGUCAGAUGUGAAAUCCCGGGGCUCAACCCCGGAACAGCAUUUGAAACUGUUUUUCUAGAGGAUGGACGGAGAAAACGGAAUUCCACAAGUAGCGGUGAAAUGCGUAGAUAUGUGGAAGAACACCAGUGGCGAAGGCGGUUUUCUAGUUUAUUCCUGACGUUGAGGCGCGAAAGCUAGGGGAGCAAACAGG
rnacentral:rRNA from 1 species